UUGUAUUAAAGAGCCGCGGUAUCCUAACCGUGCAAAGGUAGCAUAAUAAUUAGAUUUUUAAUUGGAAUCUUGUAUGAAUGGUCUUACAAAGGAAAAUCUGUCUUAGGUUUAAAAAUUGAAAUUAACUUUCAAAUGAAAAGGUUUGAAUGAAUUAAAGGGACGAUAAGACCCUAUAAAGCAUUUUAUUGGGGCAAUAUAAAUAUAAUUUGUAACUGUUUAUUUUUAGAAACAUUAUUUUUGUGUUGAUCCUUUUUAGAGAUUAUAAGAACAAGUUACUUUAGGGAUAACAGCGUUAUUUUUCUUAGAGUUCAUAUCGAAAGAAAAGAUUGCGACCUCGAUGUUGAAUUAAAAUGUCUUCAUGGUGCAGCAGCUAUGGAAGAAAGUCUGUUCGACUUUUAAAAUUUU
rnacentral:rRNA from 1 species